rnacentral:rRNA from 1 species
UGGUAGUCCACGCCGUAAACGAUGUCUACUUGGAGGUUGUGGCCUUGAGCCGUGGCUUUCGGAGCUAACGCGUUAAGUAGACCGCCUGGGGAGUACGGUCGCAAGAUUAAAACUCAAAUGAAUUGACGGGGGCCCGCACAAGCGGUGGAGCAUGUGGUUUAAUUCGAUGCAACGCGAAGAACCUUACCUACUCUUGACAUCCAGAGAACUUUCCAGAGAUGGAUUGGUGCCUUCGGGAACUCUGAGACAGGUGCUGCAUGGCUGUCGUCAGCUCGUGUUGUGAAAUGUUGGGUUAAGUCCCGCAACGAGCGCAACCCUUAUCCUUGUUUGCCAGCGAGUAAUGUCGGGAACUCCAGGGAGACUGCCGGUGAUAAACCGGAGGAAGGUGGGGACGACGUCAAGUCAUCAUGGCCCUUACGAGUAGGGCUACACACGUGCUACAAUGGCGCAUACAGAGGGCGGCCAACUUGCGAAAGUGAGCGAAUCCCAAAAAGUGCGUCGUAGUCCGGAUUGGAGUCUGCAACUCGACUCCAUGAAGUCGGAAUCGCUAGUAAUCGUGGAUCAGAAUGCCACGGUGAAUACGU